rnacentral:lncRNA from 1 species
CUCAGACUGCUUUGCUAGCAAUGAGUCAGGCUUCGUGGGUGCUGGAGCCUCCAAGCAGGCACAGGAUACAAUCUCCUCGUGUGCCGCUUGUUAAGACCACUGGAAAAGCACAGUAUUAGGGUGGGAGUGACCCGAUUUUCCAGGUGCCGUCUGUCACCCCUUUCCUUGGCUAGGAAAGGGAAUUCCCUAACCCCUUGUGCUUGUCGGGUGAGGCGAUGCCUCACACUGCCUCGGUUCAUGCUCAGUGCGCUGCUGCACCCACUGUCCUGCACCCACUGUCUGACAAUCCCCAGCGAGAUGAACCCAGUACCUCAGUUGGAAUUGCAGAAAUCAUACGUCUUCUGAGUCGCUCACGGUGGGAACUGUAGACUGGAGCUGUUCUAUUCCGGUGAAUACUGAAGCUUCAAAAGAAAGAACAUAGACAAGAUUUCUACAUCUUUUACACUGGUUAUUGUAUAAAAUGAAAGAGAA